rnacentral:misc_RNA from 1 species
GAUGAAGAACGUAGCGAAAUGCGAUACUUGGUGUGAAUUGCAGAAUCCCGUGAACCAUCGAGUCUUGAACGCAAGUUGCGCCCGAAGCCAUCAGGUUGAGGGCACGUCUGCCUGGGCGUCACAUAUCGUUGCCCAAUGCCUAUUGCAGUGCAAUAGGAAUUUCUAGGGCGAAUGAUGGCUUCCCGUGAGCGUUGUUGCCUCGCGGUUGGUUGAAAAUCGAGUCCUUGGUAGGGUGUGCCAUGGUAGAUGGUGGUCGAGUUAGAACGAUACCGAUCAUGUGCAUGCUCCCCAAAAUAUGGCCUCUAUGACCCACACGCGUCUUUUGACGCUCAUGACGAGACCUCAGGUCAGGCGGGGCUACCCGCUGAAUUUAAGCAUAUCAAUAAGCGGAGGA